rnacentral:rRNA from 1 species
AACGAACGCUGGCGGCAGGCUUAACACAUGCAAGUCGAACGCCCCGCAAGGGGAGUGGCAGACGAGUGAGUAACGCGUGGGAAUCUACCCAGUUCUACGGAACAACACAGGGAAACUUGUGCUAAUACCGUAUACGCCCUACGGGGGAAAGAUUUAUCGGAAUUGGAUGAGCCCGCGUUGGAUUAGCUAGUUGGUGGGGUAAUGGCCUACCAAGGCGAGGAUCCAUAGCUGGUCUGAGAGGAUGAUCAGCCACACUGGGACUGAGACACGGCCCAGACUCCUACGGGAGGCAGCAGUGGGGAAUAUUGGACAAUGGGCGCAAGCCUGAUCCAGCCAUGCCGCGUGAGUGAUGAAGGCCUUAGGGUUGUAAAGCUCUUUCAGUGGGGACGAUAAUGACGGUACCCACAGAAGAAGCCCCGGCUAACUUCGUGCCAGCAGCCGCCGUAACAC